AGAUCAAAGUUGAGAAUUCAUAUUGUCUUGAAGAGAAAUUAUGACCUAAAAAUCAUGCUCCAUAAAAUUACAAUGAAGCCC
ensembl:snoRNA SNORD115 Small nucleolar RNA SNORD115